AAAAAAACCAACCCAAAAAACAAAACACAACCCCCAAAAAUUUCGGGGGUGCGCGGGCCGAGAGGGGCGUGUAAGUUUCGUCCCCCGCCGCCCCUGCGCCAGGGGCUUGCCCGAAGGAAGAGAGGGAGGGGACAUCGGAACCCCCAGGUCCGGUAAGCCCUCGAAAGCCAGGAAACGGGGGAUUCCCUUGCCACCCCCAGCCCCUGCCCUGCCCCAGAUGAUCCUACGGAAAUCUUGCGCUCGCUGUAGCGCAAGCACGCGCGGAUCUUCCCACGGCUGUAGCAGGAGCUUCCCGUCCGCCCCGAAUUUUCAGUACAGGUCUCCAGCACCCUCCCAGCACCUCCUGCAGUAGGUGCCCUCACUCCUGCCCUCCCCCGGGUCCUUUCUCCGAGGUUCGGCCUCUGACUCCGCCGGGUGAGGGUUGAGUCUCCUCUAGGCAAGGGCUCCCCUCGAGCGCCGGGUGUUCGCGGGAAAGAGCCACACCACGUUCCCUACAGCCGAGCCAAGAGCCCCACGCCCCCCCCGCCCCGCCCACUCCCAUGGCCGGUUACCUAGGCAAAGCCUCCGCGCCUGGAAACACGUUCCGCCGCUCCCGCUCGCGGCCGCCGGGGCCGGAGCACCGAGCCUUGGGGUUGUAAAUUAGGUAGAAAUAACCACCUCUGUCAAAGCUCCUUUCUUUCUCGUGGGCAGACGAAAGGAACACCCCCAUGUUCCCCUCCCCGUGGUGAAGUGUGUGGAGGAAACCGUGAAACGCACCAUUGUGACCGGGGCUCCUCCGCGGAGUUUCCAACCCUGGGGAGCGGGGGCGGAGGUUGGGCGGGGGCCGUAGGAGUGAAGGAGAGACCGACAGAAAGGGAAAGACAGAGAUUCUCAGAAAGACCGAGGGAGAGGAGACAAACCGCGGGGGAGAAUUUCUGCGAGCGCGCGCGGUCGCGGGGAAGGGAGUGGGUGGGUGNGGUGGCUUGGCCCGAGGAGGCGUCUUUGAUAUUCACGCUAGGAGCACCCCGCACAGAUUGCCUCACAUGUACUUCAGUUGCUUCAGCAUAUUUUCCAAGAGUUAGAUGCUGUAUUUCACUGAGCACUAGAUUGCUUCUCAGAGGCCUGGGUCUCGCUUUGCUGCCAUGAAGCUGUCCAACCCUGGCCUGUGGCCUAAGUUUUCUGAGGGAGUUUUACUCAGAGUUUAGGCAGAAGAGAGCCAGCUGCACAUCGCUGUGCCACUGCUACUAUACUACACUGGCUUACUGUUGCAGUUUCGUCUACAGAGACUUCUAGCUGCCCGUAUUGAGUGCUGAGUUCCCUGAGUUACACCAUUCUACUACCU
rnacentral:lncRNA from 1 species